rnacentral:rRNA from 1 species
AGUGAACGCUGGCGGUAGGCCUAACACAUGCAAGUCGAACGGCAGCACAGUAAGAGCUUGCUCUUACGGGUGGCGAGUGGCGGACGGGUGAGGAAUACAUCGGAAUCUACUUUUUCGUGGGGGAUAACGUAGGGAAACUUCCGCUAAUACCGCAUACGACCUACGGGUGAAAGCAGGGGAUCUUCGGACCUUGCGCGAUUGAAUGAGCCGAUGUCGGAUUAGCUAGUUGGCGGGGUAAAGGCCCACCAAGGCGACGAUCCGUAGCUGGUCUGAGAGGAUGAUCAGCCACACUGGAACUGAGACACGGUCCAGACUCCUACGGGAGGCAGCAGUGGGGAAUAUUGGACAAUGGGCGCAAGCCUGAUCCAGCCAUACCGCGUGGGUGAAGAAGGCCUUCGGGUUGUAAAGCCCUUUUGUUGGGAAAGAAAAGCAGCAGGUUAAUACCCCGCUGUUCUGACGGUACCCAAAGAAUAAGCACCGGCUAACUUCGUG